rnacentral:rRNA from 1 species
CCCUUGUAGUCCUGGUGCAAGUGCGUAGGCCGAGCUGUAGGCAAAUCCGCAGCUCACAGAGGCUGAGACACGAUGCGGAUAAAAAGUGGGUGAUCCUAUGCCGCCAAGAAAAGCAUCGACGCGAGGUUCCAGCCGCCCGUACCCCAAACCGACUCAGGUGGUCAGGUAGAGAAUACCAAGGAGAUCGAGAGAAUCGUGGUUAAGGAACUCGGCAAAAUGCCCCCGUAACUUCGGGAGAAGGGGGGCCUUCGACGUAUUAGGACUUGCUCCGAAAGCGUUUGGAGGCCGCAGAGACUAGUGGGUAGCGACUGUUUACUAAAAACACAGGUCCGUGCCAAGUCGCAAGACGAUGUAUACGGACUGACGCCUGCCCGGUGCUGGAAGGUUAAGAGGACCGGUUAGCCGCAAGGCGAAGCUGAGAAUUUAAGCCCCAGUAAACGGCGGUGGUAACUAUAACCAUCCUAAGGUAGCGAAAUUCCUUGUCGGGUAAGUUCCGACCUGCACGAAUGGCGUAACCACUUCCCAACUGUCUCAACCGCGAACUCGGCGAAAUUGCAUUACGAGUAAAGAUGCUCGUUACGCGCAGCAGGACGGAAAGACCCCGUGACCUUUACUAUAGUUUGGUAUUGGUGUUCGGUGUGGCUUGUGUAGGAUAGGUGGGAGACUUUGAAGCUUGGACGCUAGUUCAGGUGGAGUCAUUGUUGAAAUACCACUCUGGUCACUCUGGAUAUCUAACUUAGAACCGUAAUCCGGUUCAGGGACAGUGCCUGAUGGGUAGUUUAACUGGGGCGGUUGCCUCCCAAAAAGUAACGGAGGCGCCCAAAGGUUCCCUCAACCUGGUUGGCAAUCAGGUGUCGAGUGUAAGUGCACAAGGGAGCUUGACUGUGAGACUGACAGGUCGAGCAGGGACGAAAGUCGGGACUAGUGAUCCGGCAGUGGCUUGUGGAAGCGCUGUCGCUCAACGGAUAAAAGGUACCUCGGGGAUAACAGGCUGAUCUUGCCCAAGAGUCCAUAUCGACGGCAUGGUUUGGCACCUCGAUGUCGGCUCGUCGCAUCCUGGGGCUGGAGUAGGUCCCAAGGGUUGGGCUGUUCGCCCAUUAAAGCGGUACGCGAGCUGGGUUUAGAACGUCGUGAGACAGUUCGGUCCCUAUCCGCUGCGCGCGCAGGAAAUUUGAGAGGAUCUGACCCUAGUACGAGAGGACCGGGUUGGACGAACCUCUGGUGUGUCAGUUGUUCCGCCAGGAGCACCGCUGAUUAGCUACGUUCGGGAUGGAUAACCGCUGAAAGCAUCUAAGCGGGAAGCCGGCCUCAAGAUGAGAUUUCCAUGCCUUCGGGCGAGAGGCUCCCAGCCAGACUACUGGGUUGAUAGGCCGGAUGUGGAAGCGUGGCAACACGUGAAGCUGACCGGUACUAAUAAGCCGAUGAUUU